rnacentral:lncRNA from 1 species
AUCUUACAUUGUUAUCUAGAAUAAAUUAGGCACCCACUCACUAAAUGCACGAUCGACCUCCUUGCUUUCUUUUUCUUUUUCCUUUUCUUUUAUCUUCCUCCUCGCACACAAUAUUUGACCCUGAUUUUCUCUCUUAUUUAUUUCACCUGCAAAAAACCUUCUCUCUACGGCCGCCAACUCCUUCUCCUCUCCAUCACCUUCAAUUCAUGACUCACCCAUAGUUUAUACUUAUCAAUGUCCUUUUUUCUUUUGGCAUUAAUUAUCUCUUCUACAAUUCUUUUGUUCUCCGCCGCCUCAGUCUCUUUCAAAAGCUCUUGCGCGGAAAAUCUUUGCCCUAUUUUUCCCGUUCUCCGAUAUUUGUCAUCGUUUAUUCCAAAACGUUUUUGCUCGCUCGCACGCAGUAACCCUUUUCUCCAGUUUCCCCUCGAUUUCAUCGAUCGAAAACAAAAUUGUCCGAACCCCAGCCACAAAGACCCAUGAUUAAGUAAUAUUACAUUAUUAAUAUAUAUGUGUAGCUGUUAGGGGGAGGGGGGCAGCUGGGAAUUCUUGAGAUGGUCGACGGAUCCGGAAGGAAUAUCGGAAUUUCUGCAAGUGGAGGAGGAGGCGCGGCGGAGCAGGUGGAGGAAAGAUGCGGUGGGAAGCGACGCUGGCGGAAGAGGCGGUGGCGGGAUUGGAAGUGGGCGGGAGUCAACGAUUGCAGGCCUCCCGCUCCCAUGGCUGUGUGGAACAGAAGGGAAAUCUUCUAUGAGAAUUGGGCGGCAGAGGAAACCGAAAUGAAGGAAGAAAAAGGCAGGAGUGGAGAAGAAGAGGGGCGGAGCGGCGGUCAGCAUUUGCGGCGGAAAAGGGAGAGAAGAGAACACAGUUGUAAAGGAG